rnacentral:rRNA from 1 species
ACGUAGGUGCUGCAUGGUUGUCGUCAGCUCGUGCCGUGAGGUGGUCGGUUAAGUCCCAUAACGAGCGCAACCCCUACCCUUUAGUUGCCAUCAGGUAAUGCUGGGGACGUCUAAAGGAACUGCCUACGCAAGUAGUGAGGAAGGCGGGGAGUGACGUCAAAUCAGCACGGCCCUUACGUCCAGGGCUACACACGUGCUACAAUGGCCGAUACAGAGGGCAGCUACCUGGUGACAGGAUGCAAAUCUCCAAAGUCGGUCUCAGUUCGGAUCGGAGUCUGCAACCCGACUCCGUGAAGUUGGAUUCGCUAGUAAUCGCGCAUCAGCCAUGGCGCGGUGAAUACGUUCCCGGGCCUU